CAAGAACGAUAGUAAAAUCGCUGGUUAAUCAAAUCUUCCCCCCAAACGUGGCCGGAAGCAUUGGGGAGUCAUUCCUGCUUCUUCUGGGAGACUUGUAGACCCGGACCGAUAAUUCUACCUUCUCGAAACAGAACACACAAUGAAAUAACACAUGGAUGAGGCAUCGAAAAUAAAUCAUGGGAGUGUACAAAAAUAAAGAAGAAGAGCAAAGAGUUACUCAAAGCACUCUGAUACGCCAUUUUGAUGUGGACCGCAAGCUCGGAGAGUAAAGACUGAAGAAAAUUUACAGUUAGAAGAAGACAUAAAAUAUACAACGUAGUUGUUGAAGAAGAAUUGUUGGAAAUCGAUCAUGCAUGUAGAGGUAACAAUUGUAACUUAGACUCACCAAACGCGUUUUAUGCAGUUCAAUUUUGAUCACAAUUUUUUAAAAACAAAUUAGUGUUUCGAAGUAAAGACAAAACAAGGCUCUCAAAUUUUAAAUUUCAAUUGACACAUAAACUAACAGAAACAAUUUGUGAAGGAAACAAAUUAAGCUAUCUCCUCCAAAUGUUCAAAAUCUAAAACCAGGUUAAGCUGCUAAGAA